UAUAAAUUUCUAAACGUUUUGUUUUAGGAGGGUUUUGAAAACCUUUAGAGGGAAAAGAUUUCCCAACUUUA
rnacentral:tRNA from 1 species